UGCCAGCCGCCGCGGUAAUACGGAGGGUGCAAGCGUUGUUCGGAUUUACUGGGCGUAAAGCGCGCGCAGGCGGACAUUCAAGUCAGAUGUGAAAUCCCAGGGCUUAACCCUGGAACUGCGUCUGAAACUGAUUGUCUAGAGUCACACAGGGGGUAGGGGAAUUUCACGUGUAGGGGUAAAAUCCGUAGAGAUGUGAAGGAACACCGGUGGCGAAGGCGCCUACCUGGAUGAGUACUGACGCUGAGGCGCGAAAGCGUGGGGAGCAAACAGGAUUAGAUA
rnacentral:rRNA from 1 species